rnacentral:rRNA from 1 species
NNNNNNNNNNNNNNNNCAUGCAAGUCGAACGGAAAGGCCCCUUCGGGGGUACUCGAGUGGCGAACGGGUGAGUAACACGUGGGCAAUCUGCCCUGCACUUCGGGAUAAGCCUGGGAAACUGGGUCUAAUACCGGAUAGGACCACUUGGCGCAUGCCUUGUGGUGGAAAGCUUUUGCGGUGUGGGAUGGGCCCGCGGCCUAUCAGCUUGUUGGUGGGGUGAUGGCCUACCAAGGCGACGACGGGUAGCCGGCCUGAGAGGGUGUCCGGCCACACUGGGACUGAGAUACGGCCCAGACUCCUACGGGAGGCAGCAGUGGGGAAUAUUGCACAAUGGGCGCAAGCCUGAUGCAGCGACGCCGCGUGGGGGAUGACGGCCUUCGGGUUGUAAACCUCUUUCAGCAGGGACGAAGCGAAAGUGACGGUACCUGCAGAAGAAGCACCGGCCAACUACGUGCCAGCAGCCGCGGUAAUACGUAGGGUGCGAGCGUUGUCCGGAAUUACUGGGCGUAAAGAGCUCGUAGGUGGUUUGUCGCGUUGUUCGUGAAAACCGGGGGCUUAACCCUCGGCGUGCGGGCGAUACGGGCAGACUAGAGUACUGCAGGGGAGACUGGAAUUCCUGGUGUAGCGGUGGAAUGCGCAGAUAUCAGGAGGAACACCGGUGGCGAAGGCGGGUCUCUGGGCAGUAACUGACGCUGAGGAGCGAAAGCGUGGGGAGCGAACAGGAUUAGAUACCCUGGUAGUCCACGCCGUAAACGGUGGGUACUAGGUGUGGGUUUCCUUCCUUGGGAUCCGUGCCGUAGCUAACGCAUUAAGUACCCCGCCUGGGGAGUACGGCCGCAAGGCUAAAACUCAAAGGAAUUGACGGGGGCNNGCACAAGCGGCGGAGCAUGUGGAUUAAUUCGAUGCAACGCGAAGAACCUUACCUGGGUUUGACAUGCACAGGACGCGUCUAGAGAUAGGCGUUCCCUUGUGGCCUGUGUGCAGGUGGUGCAUGGCUGUCGUCAGCUCGUGUCGUGAGAUGUUGGGUUAAGUCCCGCAACGAGCGCAACCCUUGUCUCAUGUUGCCAGCGGGUAAUGCCGGGGACUCGUGAGAGACUGCCGGGGUCAACUCGGAGGAAGGUGGGGAUGACGUCAAGUCAUCAUGCCCCUUAUGUCCAGGGCUUCACACAUGCUACAAUGGCCGGUACAAAGGGCUGCGAUGCCGCAAGGUUAAGCGAAUCCUUUUAAAGCCGGUCUCAGUUCGGAUCGGGGUCUGCAACUCGACCCCGUGAAGUCGGAGUCGCUAGUAAUCGCAGAUCAGCAACGCUGCGGUGAAUACGUUCCCGGGCCUUGUACACACCGCCCGUCACGUCAUGAAAGUCGGUAACACCCGAAGCCAGUGGCCUAACCCUUGGGAGGGAGCUGUCG